AUUGGGGUUUGGAGUUUUAGGAGGCAUUCCUUAGAAAACAGUAGAUCUUUUGGCAUUUUUCCGCUGGGGUCGGGAGCUCAAAGGGGAGAGCGAGUUUGGGCCAUUGAUCUCGAUCCAGUGGAUGGGAGCCCCCCCUCUCCUUCCCAACCCUAGCCCCCCCCCCUCUCCUUCUCCCCAAUUAGUUGCAGCCGCCCCCCUCCCUCUCUUGCUCUCAUCCCCAUUGGCAGCCGCCCCCUACCCUCUCCAUGGCUUCCUCCUCCCUCUAGAUCCCCCCCCACGCAGCAAGGAUCGAGAAGAGGAGGAGCACGUUGAAUUGAAGAGGAAGAGAGGAUCAAGGAGAUGUUCUUCUCCAUCUCUUGAAGAUUUACUUGGGGAAAACCCUAGGUGGCUACACUCCAGAUUAUGCAUAGUAUAUUUCUUCUUCUUCGAUGAAGGCAAGUGAAUGUAGCAGUGGUUGCUUCCGUUCUGACCUGUUAUUUCUAUUGCCUACACUCUAAUAUUCAGAAGUAUUGGAUUCUUUCAUAAUUGGACUCUAUGGUGAUGCUUUACUUGCUUGCAUUAUGCUGAUGCUCAAUCAUAUAUUGAUGAAGAUAAUGAUUCGAGUAUGACUCGUAAGAUUAAUUCACACCCCUAAGGUAAAUGAAGUAUUAUUUGAGGUUGGUAUUGUAUCUGAAGGUAAAUGAAGUAUUAUUUGAGGUUGUAUUGUAUGUGAAGGAAGUGAAGUAUAUUGAUAAAUGCAGCAUGCCAUAUACAUUGCAUGAUUCACUUGCAUCUGAAGUUUUGUCGUGACCUAUGGUCCGACGGUACCGGUACAACUUAGCAUCGUACGUUGCCCGAGAAGGGGUACGAUGCGGCUUCAUACCCUUAGAGGUAUGAAGGCAGAGGACAUAUGCAUUCAUUGAAGUGGUAUUUGUAGAUGGUGUGGUUUUAUACUCUAAGAGGUAUGAAGGCACAGGACUUACACAUUGCAUUACUAUGCAUACAUCGAAGUGAUAUUUGCAGGUAUUGUUGACGCAGGAAAGUGUUAUACAACCUAUUGUGGUUGUUCGAGGAAAUUAGAUGGCAUUGGUUAUUUUGGGACUAUUGAGUUCUAUAUCUACAAGUAUUUCUGAUCUCAAUUGUGAUCCCUUUAAAAUGUUGAUUAGUUCAAUUUUUUUGGUUUAAAUAUCUCGUCGAAACAAUUCACUUGCUGAGAUGUUUCAUCUCACUCUUGCAUUACUCAAUGCAGGUACUUGAUUCAUGUUGGGAAUGAGGGGAGUAGCAGCACGUCCACCUUCACUCUCAUAAUAACGCUACCCAGGCACAACCAUGAUUUAAUUAGAAACUUCUUGUCAAAGGAUGUUUGUUUUUAACUAGUCAUGCACACUAGUUAAUUCAGUUCAUGACGUUAUGGUUAUCUUCCCAUUGCUAGCAGAUUAUUAAUGUCUAGUAUGUUUUCUUAUUAUGAUAUCUGUUUAUACUUUGUUGCUUCCACGUUUAUGCAAAUUUUCAAAGGAGAUGCUGUCGAAAUUUUAUAUAUGAAUGUUAGUUGUGUAGUUUAGUAGCAUUUCGGGGUGUUUGUGGAUCCCGGGGUGUUACAGUUGGUAUCAAAGCAUAGUCUUUAGAUUCUUGGCAAUUUGAAGAUAAAUUUGACACACUUGCACAUCUAGGAAGGGUAUGGGUUCAAAUAUCUUUGAUAUAUCUUAAUGUCUUUGAAGUGCAGAUGAAAUAAUUUUACCCUCCUUAUUCCUUUACGGUGAUGUGGUAAGUUGUUUAUGACUUAAUGCAUGAUAUAAUUCAUUUCUAAAUUUUGAUAUUGUUUUAUUAAUGCGAUUGAUAUCGCUGGUCUUUUGUGAGAUUGAAGUUGCUAUUAUGCUGGUGAUAUACAUGUAUGCCUAUGUUGUUUUCAACAUGUUUUUCGUGGUUAAGUUUUAUUACAAUAAUAUUGUUAUAUAUGCUUGAUUGAGGAUGUUUAUAAGAGGAGUGUGAAUUGCGUGUUUUGGGGUACAAGGUAACCAUUAAUUUGAAUUUAAGUUGUUGGGCGGUGGGUGGAUAGCUCCAACUAUCUUUGCAAAGAAUGAUUGUUUAUGUCGAGAAACCAGUUCUGAAAGAAAUGAAUAUUGGUACUUUUAUAUGGAUUUUGGGGGAAGUAUUUACAUAGCCAGAAUGGCUUACAUGUCUCUCUUCUAUCAUGUGCUUUAGUAGCCACAAAGCCUAGAUGUGGUUUAAAGUGGUUGCAUGUUAGUCAUGCUAAUUGUAGAAUAAAAUCUUUGAUUUUCUUGAUCCAUUGAUUAUGUAUUAAUACUUUGAGGAUCUGAUGGUUCUCUCCCCGAUGCAUGUUUGUGGAGCCUUUGUUGGACCACUUAUCUAUUGGUUUGAAUGAAGUCAUUGCCUAGCCUAGAGUUGGUUGUGUGUGGUUAGUCACCUAUUCCUAAAUGAUGUGGUUUUUACAUCAGCUUGAGAUGUUUGCCAAAUGUGUGAAGGAUUACGGGGUUAGUAUUGACCCUUUAGGUCUGGUACUUUGAGUGCAUCAUAUGAUAGAAUGAAAUGUAAGUUUCUGAACUACAGUAGAUGAAGACUUAUAUUAUGUGUAGGUUAACCUUACUAGUUGGAUAUUUUUCUUAGUUGAGAUGUUGAAUGAAGUAUAGUGACAUGGGUUAAGCAAGUAUUGUGUUGUUGUUGGGCUGUCAGUGCUCUAUGUAGAGUUUUUGGCAUUUCUUCGAUGAACUAUGCUGCACAAGAUGUUAUUGGCUUCUUUCGGCUUUAUUGCUCCAUUAGUUCUAUAGAUUUUCUCCCUUUUGGUGGGGUGCAAAGUAUGUUAGAUUACAUGAUUAUCUUUUCAUUAUGGCAAGAACAAUGUUUAGGAAGAUUAGGAGUUUUUGUUUCAACAGAACUACUUGUUUCGUGGUGCUAUGAGGUGAGGAGUUUGAUCUUCUUAUACAUUCAUCUGGUGUGGAUGUUUCACCAUUGAAUUAAAAUGAAUUGUUAAAGUUGGUAAAGGUUGUGCUUAGUGCGUAUUAUCCCUUCAUAAAAGAGUGUUGUUUUAAGACAUUGAUGCUGAUGUAUGGUUGCAUCCAAAUUCAAUGUUGUGAAAUCGUAGUGUUUAUUACAUCUAUGACUUGGUUUGAGCUUCCUUACAUGUUGGUUCAUGCUUGAUGUCAGGUGGUGUAGUUUCCUUAGACAAUUAGUCGAUGUAGAAGUUCUUGUGUUAAUUAAGACCAAUAAUGGACCCAUGUUUUGCAUGGUGCUGCUAUAUGGGGUACCAUGGAUGUUUUGUUGGAGUGGUCAAAUUCGAGGACGAAUUCUUUUUAAGGGGGGUAGAGUGUGAUACCCCAAUUUUCUGAAAAGAAGUUAAACUUCUUUCUCUCUUUUCUUUCAUGUUCUGUGGCAUUGGGGUUUGGAGUUUUAGGAGGCAUUCCUUAGAAAACAGUAGAUCUUUUGGCAUUUUUCCGCUGGGGUCGGGAGCUCAAAGGGGAGAGCGAGUUUGGGCCAUUGAUCUCGAUCCAGUGGAUGGGAGCCCCCCCUCUCCUUCCCAACCCUAGCCGCCCCCCUCUCCUUCUCCCCAAUUAGUUGCAGCCGCCCCCCUCCCUCUCUUGCUCUCAUCCCCAUUGGCAGCCGCCCCCUACCCUCUCCAUGGCUUCCUCCUCCCUCUAGAUCCCCCCCCACGCAGCAAGGAUCGAGAAGAGGAGGAGCACGUUGAAUUGAAGAGGAAGAGAGGAUCAAGGAGAUGUUCUUCUCCAUCUCUUGAAGAUUUACUUGGGGAAAACCCUAGGUGGCUACACUCCAGAUCAUGCAUAGUAUAUUUCUUCUUCUUCGAUGAAGGCAAGUGAAUGUAGCAGUGGUUGCUUCCGUUCUGACCUGUUAUUUCUAUUGCCUACACUCUAAUAUUCAGAAGUAUUGGAUUCUUUCAUAAUUGGACUCUAUGGUGAUGCUUUACUUGCUUGCAUUAUGCUGAUGCUCAAUCAUAUAUUGAUGAAGAUAAUGAUUCGAGUAUGACUCGUAAGAUUAAUUCACACCCCUAAGGUAAAUGAAGUAUUAUUUGAGGUUGGUAUUGUAUCUGAAGGUAAAUGAAGUAUUAUUUGAGGUUGUAUUGUAUGUGAAGGAAGUGAAGUAUAUUGAUAAAUGCAGCAUGCCAUAUACAUUGCAUGAUUCACUUGCAUCUGAAGUUUUGUCGUGACCUAUGGUCCGACGGUACCGGUACAACUUAGCAUCGUACGUUGCCCGAGAAGGGGUACGAUGCGGCUUCAUACCCUUAGAGGUAUGAAGGCAGAGGACAUAUGCAUUGCAUUCAUAUGCAUUCAUUGAAGUGGUAUUUGUAGAUGGUGUGGUUUUAUACUCUAAGAGGUAUGAAGGCACAGGACUUACACAUUGCAUUACUAUGCAUACAUCGAAGUGAUAUUUGCAGGUAUUGUUGACGCAGGAAAGUGUUAUACAACCUAUUGUGGUUGUUCGAGGAAAUUAGAUGGCAUUGGUUAUUUUGGGACUAUUGAGUUCUAUAUCUACAAGUAUUUCUGAUCUCAAUUGUGAUCCCUUUAAAAUGUUGAUUAGUUCAAUUUUUUUGGUUUAAAUAUCUCGUCGAAACAAUUCACUUGCUGAGAUGUUUCAUCUCACUCUUGCAUUACUCAAUGCAGGUACUUGAUUCAUGUUGGGAAUGAGGGGAGUAGCAGCACGUCCACCUUCACUCUCAUAAUAACGCUACCCAGGCACAACCAUGAUUUAAUUAGAAACUUCUUGUCAAAGGAUGUUUGUUUUUAACUAGUCAUGCACACUAGUUAAUUCAGUUCAUGACGUUAUGGUUAUCUUCCCAUUGCUAGCAGAUUAUUAAUGUCUAGUAUGUUUUCUU